UACGUAGGGUGCAAGCGUUGUCCGGAAUUAUUGGGCGUAAAGAGCUCGUAGGCGGUUUGUCGCGUCUGCUGUGAAAACUCAGGGCUUAACCCUGAGCCUGCAGUGGGUACGGGCAGACUAGAGUGUGGUAGGGGAGAUCGGAAUUCCUGGUGUAGCGGUGGAAUGCGCAGAUAUCGAGGAGGAACACCGGGUGGCGAAGGCGGAUCUCUGGGCCAUAACUGACGCUGGAGGAGCGAAAGCAUGGGGAGCGAACAGGA
rnacentral:rRNA from 1 species